rnacentral:lncRNA from 1 species
UCAUGGAGCCUGCGGGGCCAUCUUGUGGCCUAUUUCUGUGCAGCCUGCAAACUAAGGAUGAUUCUUACGUUUUUAAAAAGAUGUAAAAAUCAAAAGCCAAGCACAGGAAACAGCAGCACCCACCACGGACCUCUCAGCCCCAGAGCCCCCCCAUGCCCCAUGGAGCCCCCUGUGCCCCCCAUGCCCCAUGCCGAGGCCUUGCUCAGCUCUGUUUGCUUUCAGAACCUCGCCGUCCCGGGUCCUGCUGGCUUUGGGUCACCAAUCCCCCAGCCUGGGCCAGCUGUGAAGCCCAGAAGGGCGGCCAGGCCAGACACAGCUGCCCCCUGUGCCCCGGGCCGCCCAGCACCAGCCACCAGAAGCCCUUGGGAGCUGGGCUGGGGGUCAGGUGGUCCUGCUGCAACUCAGGCCAGGUCAGGCCAGCAGGAGGACAGACGUCCUCCCCGGGGCGGGGGGGAGGGCACGGCCCAGACUUGCUUCCUCUGGCAUCAGCUUUUAGAAAGCAGGGAGAUUAAUUUUUCUGUUCCACACCCGUGGUGGUGGGGUUUCUGUUUUAGGAAAUGGAGGGAAGGGAAGGUCUAUUUACCAGUCAGAGCCCUUGGCUGCAGGUGACAAAAAUCCCAAGUCAAAGUGGCUGAAGCAACAAAAGUAUUUAUUGGCUCAUGUCACUGAAAAGUCUGGGAGUUGGAUGAGCUUCAGGCAGAGCCUGAUCCAGGGGCUCAAUAUGAUACCACCAGGACUCAAUCUUUCCAUUUCUUCUGGGUUGGUUUUACUCUCAGGAAACCUAGGCGUGCAUCCCAUCCGCUCACCAACCCCAACCCCAUUAGUAACAGUUGUCUCCUUCAGUGGGUCCCAGACUGAACGUCACUGAGCCCUGCCUGGAUCAUGUGACCUUCCUCUGAACUAGAGGCUGUGACCAGGGGGAUGGGAUGGUCUGAUUGGCCAACCUUGGUCACAUGCUCCUGGAGUGGGUGGGGCCAGCCACUCUGGACCUGCAGAUGCUGAGAGAAGAGAACCAUCCCCCAGCAAGACCAGGGGGGUCAGCAGGAAGGACCUGAGUCCUCGAGAUCAGCAGCUGCCCACAGAAGGGAACUGGAGUCUGGGCUCCCCGCCAGGCCUCGCCACCCCAUCCACAGCUGCUGGCCUGCGGCCCUGCAGGACACAGCCCCAGCCACACCCAGCGGUGGGGGGGCCUUCCCAGCCUGGCCUGGGCUCCGCUGCCCUCCCUGGCCACCCCCAGGCCCCCAGCCCUGCCCAUGGCUGGCGCGCAGUGAGUGCCCACAACACUGGAUUGUCAAACUUCUGUCGCCUGCUGGACCCUGAGAGGCUUGAGGGCAGAGAAGGUGUCUUGCUCCUGCAGGGUCCCCAGCACCUGAGGCCCAGGGGGUCCCCCAGAUGCUUGGUAACCAGUGAAUGUCCCUCGGUGCACAGUGGGUCCCCAGACACUUGGAAAGCUAGUGAAUGUCCCUUGGCCCACAGUGGGUCCCCAUAUAUGUGGUAAAUGAAUGAAUUUGCUCCACAAAUAUCUGAUGAACAGAUGAAUUCAACCGGGGGAGUGGCCAGCCCGGGGAGUGGCCGGCUGUGGGACACUUGCAGGUCAUGGAGGAGCUGGAGGGGUAGCCGUUGGGAGGGGGAUGAAGGAGGGAUG